rnacentral:rRNA from 1 species
UACGUAGGGGGGCUAGCGUUGUCCGGAUUUAUUGGGCGUAAAGAGCGUGUAGGCGGCCUGGUAGGUCUGCUGUGAAAACUCGAGGCUCAACCUCGAGAUGUCGGCGGAAACCAUCUGGCUAGAGUCCGGAAGAGGAGAGUGGAAUUCCUGGUGUAGCGUGAAAUGCGCAGAUAUCAGGAAGAACACCUAUGGCGAAGGCAGCUCUCUGGGGACGGUACUGACGCUGAGACGCGAAAGCGUGGGGAGCGAACAGG